UUAUGAUGACAUGUAUGGAUAGGAGUCAUGUCAAUAGGGACACGAAUAUGGAAGCGCUUCGGGUCGAAGGUAAACACGGAAGCCACAUGUAAAUUGGACGUACGAGGUUGGGAGGACAUAAUAUUAUUAUGAAGGAUAAGAGGAUUGAAGAUCGUGUCAAGAGUAAGGAUUGUACGGGAAGGAUCGGUCGCAUAGUUUGACAAAUAUGGGUCUUGAAGCAUUAAUAUAAUGGAACGUGGUAAAUCCUUUUAAUGAGUGUAUGAAAUUUUGUAUUUGAACUUUCCUGUAAGUAUUAUGUCUAACAAAGAAUGAAAUUUUGGGCUCAUA